rnacentral:rRNA from 1 species
GGCUCCUCGAAAAAGACAAAAUAUGGGGAGUCGGACCUGCCCGGUGACUGCUAUGUUAAACGGCCGCGGUACCCUAACCGUGCAAAGGUAGCGUAAUCAUUUGCCUUUUAAUUGGAGGCUUGUAUGAAUGGUUUGACGAGAGCUAAACUGUCUCUUUUAAAAUAUUUAGAAAUUAACUUCUAGGUGAAGAGGCCUAGAUAUUGUUGAGGGACAAGAAGACCCUGUUGAGCUUUAGUGAUGUGUAAAAAUGAGUUUAAAAUUCUAGAGUUUAAGAUGAGAGCUUUAGGGAUCAUGUGUAUAGCAAAGUGAUUUUUUUACACUAAUCUUUAGUUGGGGCGACUGAGGAACAUUUAAAGCUUCCUUUUAGUAAAUUUGUAGUUAGGUUAACUGUUUUUAGUACUUACAGGUUAGUUUGGAUCCAGUAAAGACUGAUUAAGGGAAAAAGUUACCACAGGGAUAACAGCGUAAUCUUUCUGGAGAGAUCAUAUCGAAAGGAGGGUUUGCGACCUCGAUGUUGGACUAAGAUAUCCUGAGGGUGUAGAAGCUCUCGAUGGUUGGUCUGUUCGACCAUUAAAAUCUU